rnacentral:lncRNA from 1 species
UUGCCUCAAAUAUUCUCUCUCUCUUUAUACUUUAAAACCUCAUUUGUGUUUGAUUUAAAGCAUGUCCUAGAGUAUUUUCAGCCAUCACCUUCUUUUUUUCAGGUCUUGUCUAGCUAAUCUUUAAGCAGUACUGUUGUCUUGAUUACUGUUAGUCAUAUGGUUUCUCCAUGAUUCCUUUUUAUUCGACUUGCAUGCUACUCUCUUGUGCUUCGAUUAUUCGAAGGUGGUUCAUGGAACUACGAAUGAUAAUAUGGUAUCAAAGAUGGAAGUGACGCGGUUGUAGAAGAGGUGUUUAAGGGCCCCUGUUUAGCACAACUUUUGGUCUCGGAGUCAGAUUUUGAAAAUUUCUCUCACAACCUUUGGUAUUCCAGAAUUCUUUUCCAAGGGUGACUGUUCGUAAUCCCUAAUCCAUAAGUUCCUCUGUGUCAGGAAGAUUGUGAGUAAUAGAGCAAAUUGGGGGAGAAGUUUUUGGAACUGGUCUCUUGUUCUUCACAAAUUUGAGAGAAGGAAGUAAGAAAAUCGUAUGUAAGUUUUUCCUUUUCUUCCUUAUUCCUUCUUGCAGAUGAAUUUGAUAGCAAAUCAAAAGUACACAAAUAUUGUUCAGUGCAAAGAUUCAUGGGUGGAACAAAAAAGGUAACAAUUUGCUAAGCAUAUGUUAUUGUCUUUCAGAAAGUUUCUGCAACCUCCAUUUAAUUCAAGAAAUGUAUUCUUCCAGAUUAGAUAGUUAGAACUAGAUAAGAUCUAUGGGAACAUAUUUUCUGCGACCUGCUUUGUGCUUAUUUAUAUUGCAUUCUUUGGUUAAAAUACAUUUGGACCAUAUCAUUAACUUAGCUGCAAUCUUUUAAUUAGAAAAAUCUCAUACUUCUUUGAUAUAAGGAAGAGAGAAUUCUUCGGAGAAGAUCGUUUGUUGAAGCAAUCGAAACACAGGCCUUACCGAAGAAACCAAGACCGGCUUUCUACAAACACCUUUCACCCCUUUAAGACAUAACAUUAUUAGGAUUCAUGCUAAGUAAAGCAUGGACAACCUUCCAUUGUCAUCCUCUCUACGCAAAGUCCAACCCGUUGCAUUAGGCAAGUAUGUAGAUUAGCCCAAUAUUGCAAACUUUGAUCUGAAUUCGCUUAUAUGUAUUUUCCAACUACAUGUGCCAUUGGUCAAGAGAGCUUCUUAUAGAUAAACCGUACAGCAAUAAAUCAGAUAUAUGAUCUCUAGGUUACGAAAUUUCCAUUAGCGUGGUUUUAGUUAAUUUAGUUGAGCAUGGCAAAUUUGUAAACCUAAUCGACCUUCCUACGAAUGAAAAUCUGGUUUUAUAACAGCUCCUUGCAGUUAGCUUCACAUCUAUUUGUUUGUAUAAAAGCAUAAACAUAAAGUGACACUUCCAUGUCAUAGAAAAGUUGCAGAAGAAGAAGAUGAUCUCAGUUUUCUCUGGUGGAAUCUCAUCAAUUAAUUCACAUGAUCAGCUGUUGAUCACCUCCUACAUUUCUCCAUUCCCAAUUUCUUUUCAUGAUAUUUUGAAUUGGCAAUAAAAUAAAACACGAAACUAUCCUUUUCUUUACAUGAUUAAAUCACUAAGUUGUUGAUAUAGUAUUGAUAAGCCGUGAAUAACAUUGGUAGAUAGCAAGUCAAUAGCAGAACAUAUCAUUGUCUUUAUUGAUAUACAUCCACAUUAUCUAUCGAUACAAAUUUCGUCCUUUUGACAAGAAAACAAAAGUAUGAUAAAUAAUAUUUCAUGCGUGUGUAUAAUAUCGUUAAACUAUCAAUGACAUUAGUAGAUAGCAAGUCAAUAGUAAAAAGUAUCAUUGUAUUAUCGAUAUACAUAUUACCCCAUUAUCUAUCUACACGAAUUCAUCCGUUUAUAUAUAGUUGGACCAUGAUUUUCUAGGCCCAUGACACGUGGCACUUUAGGUGGCAAGAAGGACCAGAAUGCCCAUAACCUAUGAAGUGUAGUCAAACAGUCUUAGUCAAACAUGCUAGGCUUAAGCCCAUUGAAAAUAUUACUUGUGUCCCAAGUAAGGAAAUCCUAAUUCAAGGCAAUUUAAUUAGGAUAUCUUGGGAUUAAGCAACGUAAUCAAAAUCCUAGCAAAAUUGGAUAUAUUAUCCUACAUUCCCUCCUAAAUAGUCUCUCGAUUAAAUGGAAUUACUCUUCCUACAGGGACUGUGAAGAUCUCUAUAAAUACCCUAACUUGGGCAUUGAUCGAGCAUGUCGAUCGACGAAUUAAUCAAUCACAACUGAAGAUACAUCUCUCUUAUAUUCUCUCUAUGCUUAACAUAGGCUCAUUUUGCAUCCACGCGGUCUACGCGCAAACACGUCCAUGGAGAACUCAUCUCUUUAAUGGCCCACCAUAGCCUAUUCACCAAGGAUGGUUCAUGAUGUAGCACACAUCAGACCAUUCUUUCUUAGAACUACACUACCGAUUUGAUUCUUCUUCCCGGAGAUAUGUAGGCAUUCUGAUCUGGAUUCAACCACACCCCCCAAUUGUGUGACCAUGAUCUCUGGGCCUAUGACACGUGGCACUUCGAGUGGCAAGAAUGGCUGAAAAGCUUAUAGCCCAUGGAGCGCAGUCUGAGAGCCUUAGUCCGACAAGCUAAGCUUAAGGCCUAUUGAAGAUCAUGUGCAAUUAACC